rnacentral:lncRNA from 1 species
CUGUUAGAUCACGUAUAGACUAGAACACCGUGAAUUCAAAGCGCGCCGCCAUAUUGGUGAGCGCCGGUCGCGCCAUCUAUCCCAAGUGCCGCGAAGUAGCAGUCCUGGGCUGCCACACCGGGAGAUGCGACCCAGCGCAAAAGCGAAACUUCGGCAUUUCAGCUGGGCGGAAGGCGUGUAUCGCGUUUUUUCUAACCUGUCAUUUGCGCUGUCUCGAUUCAACCAAACUUCAAGACCUCAUGCAAGUCCGCAAUGGCCACGCUGAGUGCUGUGCAGACUGCAGAAGCGAAUACAUCGGGUAAGUACGCUAUUACAUUUGUACAAGCCGCGCGCUAUAUACUAGAACACGUGUGAGCUGUAAUAUCUCCGUAUUUUUGGCACGUAACCUGUGAAGGAAUAUACAGCACUAUGUUGGUGCCAUAUAUUAUAAAAGCACGCAGAACAUUGUCCUCUGCACUUUCAGUAUGGUCUUGUUUGUCAUGUUCACUGCUAGGUUGGCCACGUUCGGCAGCACAAUGGCGAGGUCGCUUGACUGGGCUUACAGCCUGCCUGAUUAGCAGACGCCUGCCCUUCACCACCUG